UAUUCAAGGUCAAAAAUUUCAGAGUGUUAGGAAAAGUUCAGGAGAACGGAGUAGAUCUGUAUCAAAAUGCAUAAGCCUCUGAUAAUUCUCAAGAUGUAAUUAAAGCUAGGACUUAGAAAUUCUGGAAUAAUUUAGGAGUUCUAGAAUUUUCUAGCACUCUGAAUUCAGAUUCUUUACAGAUGUUAUAGGAUGCUUGAAAUGGAUCAGGAGUGUAGACAUAUUAGAGAAGUUAAUUCUACACUCGGAACCCAGUAAAUCAAUGUUAACAUGAAAUAAGUUUUGAUAAUAAGAUCCAAGAGUUCAGGAAAGGGAAAGGGCCUAAUCCUUACAGAAAGUCCUGAAUUAAUAAAUUAAGUUUGAAAUAUGAGGAAACAGAAGACAAUGUAAUGAAUCAUGGCCCAAAAAUGUAUAGUAUAAGUUUUGGGUCCUGGGGAAAUUUUAAAUUCUGACUUUCUGUCAUCCUACAAGGAAGAAAUGACUACCUUAUUAUACCACCAUCAAAGAGAUUAGAUUUAAGUGAGAGAGAGUGCACCGUACCUAUCUCUCUUUACUGAAGUUGAAAGAAAGCCACCUGGUCCUCAGAAAAGGGCACUGGAGCAUGGAGGGCAUGGUGAUUUGACUGGCAGAGAAAAAUGCCCAGAUUCAUAUGAUAUUUUAAACAUUUCCUGUUGAUCCUCCAAGCUCUGCUUUCCCAUUGUCAAGUGAUUCCACAAAUCUCUGCCUCAUCAGAAUUCCACUAUUCACUUGUCCCAGUACUGGUGGAGGAUGGCUCCUACUAUGACAAAAAUGGACUAAUGAUGACUAGAAAAAGAGGAAGUGGUUAAACUAUUCCAGGAUCGUUGCCAAGAAAACUUCAUGCACUAUGCUAUGAUCCUCUUGGGAUGAAGAAUUGGACACAACUGAAUGACUGAACAACAACAACAACAACAUUUGAAUACCACAGCCAUGACCAAAAGUGAUAAAAAAUGCAAAUUCUAACAAAGUUUUUGCUUUUUUGUUGCAACAUAGACCCCUUGAACAUCCUGAUGAAAUCAAUGACCAUAUCAAAAUGGUAUUUUAAACAUAUAAAAUAAAAUGCAUAUGAUUACAAAAUAAAUAAAUUAUACUAAACAGAACUAUCAAAAGAUAAACAAAGCAAAGACCCUGGGUUAAUAAUUAAUAAUAAUCAAUU